GAUUAAGUUAUUAAGGGCGCACGGUGGAUGCCUUGGCACUAGAAGCCGAUGAAGGACGUUACUAACGACGAUAUGCUUUGGGGAGCUGUAAGUAAGCUUUGAUCCAGAGAUUUCCGAAUGGGGAAACCCAACAUGAGUUAUGUCAUGUUAUCGAUAUGUGAAUACAUAGCAUAUCAGAAGGCACACCCGGAGAACUGAAACAUCUUAGUACCCGGAGGAAGAGAAAGAAAAUUCGAUUCCCUUAGUAGCGGCGAGCGAAACGGGAAGAGCCCAAACCAACAAGCUUGCUUGUUGGGGUUGUAGGACACUCUAUACGGAGUUACAAAGGACGACAUUAGACGAAUCAUCUGGAAAGAUGAAUCAAAGAAGGUAAUAAUCCUGUAGUCGAAAAUGUUGUCUCUCUUGAGUGGAUCCUGAGUACGACGGAGCACGUGAAAUUCCGUCGGAAUCUGGGAGGACCAUCUCCUAAGGCUAAAUACUCUCUAGUGACCGAUAGUGAACCAGUACCGUGAGGGAAAGGUGAAAAGCACCCCGGAAGGGGAGUGAAAUAGAACCUGAAACCGUGUGCUUACAAGUAGUCAGAGCCCGUUAAUGGGUGAUGGCGUGCCUUUUGUAGAAUGAACCGGCGAGUUACGAUUUGAUGCAAGGUUAAGCAGUAAAUGUGGAGCCGUAGCGAAAGCGAGUCUGAAUAGGGCGUUUAGUAUUUGGUCGUAGACCCGAAACCAGGUGAUCUACCCUUGGUCAGGUUGAAGUUCAGGUAACACUGAAUGGAGGACCGAACCGACUUACGUUGAAAAGUGAGCGGAUGAACUGAGGGUAGCGGAGAAAUUCCAAUCGAACCUGGAGAUAGCUGGUUCUCUCCGAAAUAGCUUUAGGGCUAGCCUCAAGUGAUGAUUAUUGGAGGUAGAGCACUGUUUGGACGAGGGGCCCCUCUCGGGUUACCGAAUUCAGACAAACUCCGAAUGCCAAUUAAUUUAACUUGGGAGUCAGAACAUGGGUGAUAAGGUCCGUGUUCGAAAGGGAAACAGCCCAGACCACCAGCUAAGGUCCCAAAAUAUAUGUUAAGUGGAAAAGGAUGUGGCGUUGCCCAGACAACUAGGAUGUUGGCUUAGAAGCAGCCAUCAUUUAAAGAGUGCGUAAUAGCUCACUAGUCGAGUGACACUGCGCCGAAAAUGUACCGGGGCUAAACAUAUUACCGAAGCUGUGGAUUGUCCUUUGGACAAUGGUAGGAGAGCGUUCUAAGGGCGUUGAAGCAUGAUCGUAAGGACAUGUGGAGCGCUUAGAAGUGAGAAUGCCGGUGUGAGUAGCGAAAGACGGGUGAGAAUCCCGUCCACCGAUUGACUAAGGUUUCCAGAGGAAGGCUCGUCCGCUCUGGGUUAGUCGGGUCCUAAGCUGAGGCCGACAGGCGUAGGCGAUGGAUAACAGGUUGAUAUUCCUGUACCACCUAUAAUCGUUUUAAUCGAUGGGGGGACGCAGUAGGAUAGGCGAAGCGUGCGAUUGGAUUGCACGUCUAAGCAGUAAGGCUGAGUAUUAGGCAAAUCCGGUACUCGUUAAGGCUGAGCUGUGAUGGGGAGAAGACAUUGUGUCUUCGAGUCGUUGAUUUCACACUGCCGAGAAAAGCCUCUAGAUAGAAAAUAGGUGCCCGUACCGCAAACCGACACAGGUAGUCAAGAUGAGAAUUCUAAGGUGAGCGAGCGAACUCUCGUUAAGGAACUCGGCAAAAUGACCCCGUAACUUCGGGAGAAGGGGUGCUCUUUAGGGUUAACGCCCAGAAGAGCCGCAGUGAAUAGGCCCAAGCGACUGUUUAUCAAAAACACAGGUCUCUGCUAAACCGUAAGGUGAUGUAUAGGGGCUGACGCCUGCCCGGUGCUGGAAGGUUAAGAGGAGUGGUUAGCUUCUGCGAAGCUACGAAUCGAAGCCCCAGUAAACGGCGGCCGUAACUAUAACGGUCCUAAGGUAGCGAAAUUCCUUGUCGGGUAAGUUCCGACCCGCACGAAAGGCGUAACGAUUUGGGCACUGUCUCAACGAGAGACUCGGUGAAAUCAUAGUACCUGUGAAGAUGCAGGUUACCCGCGACAGGACGGAAAGACCCCGUGGAGCUUUACUGUAGCCUGAUAUUGAAAUUCGGCACAGCUUGUACAGGAUAGGUAGGAGCCUUUGAAACGUGAGCGCUAGCUUACGUGGAGGCGCUGGUGGGAUACUACCCUAGCUGUGUUGGCUUUCUAACCCGCACCACUUAUCGUGGUGGGAGACAGUGUCAGGCGGGCAGUUUGACUGGGGCGGUCGCCUCCUAAAAGGUAACGGAGGCGCUCAAAGGUUCCCUCAGAAUGGUUGGAAAUCAUUCAUAGAGUGUAAAGGCAUAAGGGAGCUUGACUGCGAGACCUACAAGUCGAGCAGGGUCGAAAGACGGACUUAGUGAUCCGGUGGUUCCGCAUGGAAGGGCCAUCGCUCAACGGAUAAAAGCUACCCCGGGGAUAACAGGCUUAUCUCCCCCAAGAGUUCACAUCGACGGGGAGGUUUGGCACCUCGAUGUCGGCUCAUCGCAUCCUGGGGCUGUAGUCGGUCCCAAGGGUUGGGCUGUUCGCCCAUUAAAGCGGUACGCGAGCUGGGUUCAGAACGUCGUGAGACAGUUCGGUCCCUAUCCGUCGUGGGCGUAGGAAAUUUGAGAGGAGCUGUCCUUAGUACGAGAGGACCGGGAUGGACAUACCUCUGGUGUACCAGUUGUCGUGCCAACGGCAUAGCUGGGUAGCUAUGUGUGGACGGGAUAAGUGCUGAAAGCAUCUAAGCAUGAAGCCCCCCUCAAGAUGAGAUUUCCCAACUUCGGUUAUAAGAUCCCUCAAAGAUGAUGAGGUUAAUAGGUUCGAGGUGGAAGCAUGGUGACAUGUGGAGCUGACGAAUACUAAUCGAUCGAAGACUUAAUCAA
rnacentral:rRNA from 1 species